CUUACAAUUUUUACGAAUCACUUUAUAAAUUUGAUGGAUAUUUAUGUAGGUUUCGAGUUUACCUUACUAAACAAGCAUUUGAUGAGUGAAAAGUUCUUCCUUUAAAACCAAAAUAGAAAAUGGAAAAUGGGUUAAAUUAGAAGAAAAUAGAAAAACUGUUCGAUUAAAUAAUGUACCUUUGUAAUAUUGGCAGAAUCGAAUAGUGUACCUUUGUAAUAUUGGCAGAAUCGGACAAUCUUGGCGACCAGGACUUCACAAUAGUCAACCUCGGAGAACUCACCGCCGCCAAUUGAACUUCCGACAACGGCGAUUCAUUCCCAACGCCCGCUGGAGACUCUUUAUAAUCAUCGGAAACAUUCUCCACCAAAUCGUCGGAACCAGUAGACCCCAAGCUGCAAUUAUUAACAGGAGACAAGUACCCGGCCACCGGUUCACUCUCGCCAGCGACCACCGCCUCCACACCCCAAAGCAUACACCACCGCCCGGCGACGC
rnacentral:lncRNA from 1 species